GCACAUAGAAUCUGCUGCCCACCCCCCCCUUCUCUUCCUUUUUCUUCAUCCCGUACUUCUUUAUUAACGUUUUCGCAGUAAAAAUGCAACCGCCUUUUUCUUGGUAGUUGCUGCGGAGCACAAGCGCGUUUGCGUUCUGCGAAAAUAAGGAGCUUCUGCGAAGUGAAAACCGCCACAACCCCCGCCCGGUUUUGGUGGGGUUUCUUCGAUCAAAUAAAACCGAAACCCCGUGGGGACGGAUGCUGAAAUCCCCGAGCUCUCCCUUGCGCCCUGGCUGCUGCCGGGGCCGGGGGUUGUGUGGGGGGGGUGAUGUCCCCGGGACCCCCAGGAGCUCCCACCGCUGGGGUUUGUCCGGCAAGAGGGUCCCCAAAUCAGGGGGGUCUUCACCCCAACCUGAUGCACUGCUCGUGCGCCUACGACGCAGGGAAAUUAGUGGGAAUUCAUGGAUGCUCAGCUUUCGGAGGAGCUUCCUGAGCUGUUUAAAGUCUCCAGGAAAGCAGGAUUUUAAAACAUAUAUAGGGGAACAUUCAAGCCAGGCCCUCAGGAGGUGGCUGGGUGAUGGGAACCACGACUUUACCGCGACUUUAACCCCCUCCCUUAAUAAUACAUAAUCACCGAAACCGGUUAUUGCCUUUGCCAUCCGCCUCUGCCCGGAACUGGACAAAUCCACGGGUGCAAGGGGUGCACCGGUGCGAGUUUUGCACAAACAGCGCCCGGAACCGAACCAACCGAAGGCAAAUAAUUAAACAAAUGAUGAAUAGCGGGACCACGGCUAAGUGUAUUUUGCUGUUUGUUUUCAUAAGCUGUGGAUGUAGCUGUUGUGAUGACGUGAGGCAGUAGACUCACAGGCAGGCUUAAUUCAAUUCCACCUAUUUUAAUUUAAAAAAUUAAUACAUAUAAAAAUCAUAAUUGAAAAUAUUCCAUUCAUUACACUUUCCCUUGGAUUUUUUUUUUUUUUUGGCCAAUUUCUUUUGCCUUUAAUAAUAAAUAACAAUAGUAUUGUCCCCUCCUUGCUUUUAAACCUCCAGCAGGAGGGAAGAAGGUCCUGGCCAACGGACGCAGAGGAAAAGCCGAGAUGGAAGAGAAGGGAAACAAACUGCCGAAAGUAAAAAAAUAUCGUUUUCCUUCAACCGCACUCGAUUACGGUGCUCUGAGAUGGAAUUGCAGGCACAGAGGCCAAGCCAGAAAGCAUUACAAGUUUUUCAUUUAACUUUCUUCCUUUAAAUUUAAAACUUUACGUAACUUUAUGACUGAGAAACUGUCCGAGAGCUCCGUGCAGCAGCGUCGGCUCCGGCACAUGCGAAAUCCCGGUGUGAGGUUUGCAGGCUUGCCGGUAGUAGAAGAUAUUUAACAUUAUUUGUUGAACGGAGUCCUUGAUAAAUUAAGGUUUUUCUUUUUGUCUUGCAAAUUAUUCUCAAUGUGUUCUUGAUUUUUGUGACAGUCAACAAACUGAGACAGUUUUCAAACUAGGGUUUGUCCGCACACACAACCACCGACAGGAACUCGCGGGCUGGUUUGCGAGAGCCGCCGCCGUCCCCAGAACGGGCAAUAAACCCCGCGGUGCCACAGCCCAGCCCCGUCACCGAGUCACCGACCUCCUACCCCCCUUUUCCAUCAUUCAGCUGUGUUUGCCGGCCGUGGAGGCAAGACAUUUUUUUUGGUAUUCAUUUUCUACUACUCUUCCUGCUUGCAUUUUAUUGUCAAUAUAAACUGCAGGGGAAAAUAAUCCCAGCGCUGUCUUUUGAAUAUUUAUUUCCCACAACUCGGUGGAGUACAGCUUCACUCCCUCUCUCGUGUCUAUCACCUGCAUUAGAACAAUUAGAAGAUAAUACAUUUUUCAGUCCUCUUACCUCCAAACUCCAGCUGCCCGGCCAGGAUAAUACAAACCACAUUGAGCUGGGCCAGGCAGGGCCGCGGUCGGGAUGGCUGCGUGUCUGCAAGCGGCCUCAGAGCCGCGGCUGGUCUUUCAGACGGGGAAACGAUCUCUCCGAGGCAACUGGGAUUCAUCAUCUACAGCUAAUUGAGCCCCGGUGAGCAGGAGGGUUCCCAUCUGCCGGCUUUCUCCGUCGGGCAGAGAGCGCUGGCAGUAUCUCCUGAUCCCGUCUCCGGAUGGGAUGCUCCUGCUCUGAGCAUCGCUCCCGCCCCGAGAUGCUGGGAGGAUGGCAGCGGCUCUCGUGCAGCUCCCCGCCCCGCGGCUCCGCUCUGCCCGAGCGGUGGGCAAUGCCAGCGCACGUGGCGGUGAAGAACCUCCUUAGGAGGUCAACCGACGGAGAGACUUCAACACCAGCUGUCCACCGCCGUAAGCUGGCCUUUUCUUCCCCAGACCUGCCAUUUUUGCCAUGAAAUUAAUUCGGGGCGUUCCUGAGAGCAAGGACGGGCUGAACCAUGGCAUCACCUCCCGCUUCGGACAUCGCAGCGUCAGCACGGAGGUGCCGCAGCCCAACGGGGGACGGAGAACGCACGUUAUCGCACUGCGCUUGGGUAUAAGAGCAGGGGUUUUUCAAAGUUCAUUAGGGGGAAAAUAAGAUGGAGACUGAAAUUAAAGCUUUGCUGUGGGACUGGACAUUCGAGAAUGUAAGGGAAAACAAUCUCCUAAGCGCUGUUCUAAGCUACGACGGGUGUUUUCUGCCAAGAUCUACUUAGUCUUCGGGAGUUUCUGUUUAAAAGAUUGUAUUUUAGAAAAAGAAGUAUUUGUUAAUCCGUCAAUAAGUAAUUAGCUAAUAAUUCGUAUGGAGUGGUAGUUGCAUUUACAAAAAUUAAAGUUGAAUAUUACAAAUUCCAGUUCCCAUGGAACCCAAACCGGCGUUAUUUCAGCCCACAGAAGGGUUAUUGAGCUGCCAGCCACAUCCACUCCACUCGCAGCCUGCGCAUUAGCCAGAGCGUUUAGAAACUGGUUUAUUAUAGCUUUAACGAACCUGCCAUCCCGUUCCUGCGCUGACAGUGGCAGCUGUUUGUGGCACACUGUAUCAUCCAUAAGUUUAAUUUUAUUUUUUUCUUCCAAGAGAAUGAUAUUAUUUGCACAUUGGUAUAUUAGAUAUUAGCUUGCAUUUCGCCAGUGUCAGGUUUAUCCAGAUUAGAUUUGAGGCAGCGCGUACAUUUACAUUUACAACGUGACGAGCAAAUAGGCUGGGAUCUAAAAAAAAAUAAUAGAUGAUUUAUUGACUAGUAACGGCAAGGUUGGGAAACUGAAAAAAAAAAAUGCAAACUGGACUGCGAGAGCUGGAAUAAAAAGUUAGUAGCACGUGCAAAGGUGGUUAAAUCCAUCCUAAAGGACAUUUUUACAGGAGAGGAAAGAUUUUGAAAGGGAAGAGGCGAGGGCAGAUGUGGUUGGUGCCACCAAGGCUGGGGAGGGGAGAGCACGCGGGGACGAGGGACCGGCCUGGGCUCCGCUGUUUGCUGGCUCUGGCUGCGUCUCUGCAAGAGAAGAGGAGUUUCACCACCCGAAGAGGUUGCUCAGAGCGCAGCCCGCGUUGCGUACACCCAGCGGGGGAAAGAGAUGCGCCCACAGCCAUCUGCAGCCCCGAGUACGCGUCGUCUGACGAACCGCCGGUGGAGCGACGGCCGAGGCUGUGUUACGGAGUCAGGGCUUGUUUAACGGUACACCACGACGCGGGGCUGCAUCUGUCUGAUUAGAAACUGCAGGGUUGGAAACCGCUUUUUUGGUUUUUUUUUUUUUUCCCAAAUGCUAAAAAAAAAAAAUUAAAAUAUUUUCUUGCUAACAAUUUGUGAAGCAGAGGACAAACAAUCCUUUGAGUUUAUCCGUUAGAACUGAAAAUGUCCUAGCACCAAAUUUAUAAUUGUGGCUUUAUAUAAAUCUAUGACAUAUCAGGUGGAGAUAUAAAAGAAUUAGAUGCAUAAUUGAGGGCAGGUGAUAUUAAAAUAUCACCCCUAAGCCACAAGUCAGGUUUGGUUUGCUUUGUUGGGGUUUUGUUUUGUUUUGUUUUGUUAAAUGCAGAGUAAAUCUUGGCAAAAUCGAGAGCAGCAUGAACACAAUUAAAUCUCCUGAAGUCUGCCCCUAAAUUGGUCAGGAAAGCCCGUGUUUAGAAUUUACCUGUGUGCUUUAACAGGUUAAUGGACAGUAUUAAAAGAUCAUUUUCAAGUUAAGCAAACAUUUCUGGCAUAUUGUAUAACACUUGCUUUAAAAUUAAGUUAGUUAUUCUGAACUCUAUGCCAAAUGAUUAUUUGCUCGAUUUUCUGAUGACGCUAAUACGUGACAUACCAUCACAUAAUUUGGUAAAGACAAUAAGAUUACAAAGCCCGAGAAGGGUCUGAGUCAGUCUUUGACAGAUUAAAGCUCUCCAAGUCCCCUGAAAACCCUUCUCUGACAUAUUAAUUUGACCUAAACCCUCAAAAUGUUCCUGAUUAUAUCAUCUCAAUUGGGCUUUGUUUUUGUUUUAUUUUUCAUUGUAGGAAA